rnacentral:rRNA from 1 species
GAUGAACGCUGGCGGCGUGCCUAAUACAUGCAAGUCGAGCGAACAGAUAAGGAGCUUGCUCCUUUGACGUUAGCGGCGGACGGGUGAGUAACACGUGGGUAACCUACCUAUAAGACUGGAAUAACUUCGGGAAACCGGGGCUAAUGCCGGAUAACAUUUAGAACCGCAUGGUUCUAUAGUGAAAGAUGGUUUUGCUAUCACUUAUAGAUGGAUCCGCGCCGUAUUAGCUAGUUGGUAAGGUAACGGCUUACCAAGGCAACGAUACGUAGCCGACCUGAGAGGGUGAUCGGCCACACUGGAACUGAGACACGGUCCAGACUCCUACGGGAGGCAGCAGUAGGGAAUCUUCCGCAAUGGGCGAAAGCCUGACGGAGCAACGCCGCGUGAGUGAUGAAGGUCUUCGGAUCGUAAAACUCUGUUAUCAGGGAAGAACAAAUGUGUAAGUAACUGUGCACGUCUUGACGGUACCUAAUCAGAAAGCCACGGCUAACUACGUG